ACGACCGAUCCGGGAACGCCUGAAAAGGAGGCUGACUCAUUUUGGUGUUCCACGAAUACCUUGGUUUUUGCUGCAUAGACGAAGUGCUGUCCGGGCGUCUUUUUCUACAACCCAAUGUUGAAGCUGUUAAAGAAAAGGCGGCAAAACCCGAGGCAGCUUCAGAACCAGGGAGGAAAGGAUUGGAUCGUUGGCAGCCCGAUGUAGGGGCAGGGCCCAGUGGAAUCAGGACCGAAACAGCGGCAACAGAAUUAGACAGGCAGUUGAAUGAUGUUGCUGACCAUCUCGGCUCCACCUGGGCCGAGUUUGAACAAUGGGAACGUCUGGCUUUAUCUCUCGGCUUCAACACUGACUACAUCCGGGACCUGAGCGCCAGACUGACCUUCUGGGAACGUCCCCGCCAGCUGAUGAUGGACUGGAAGAACCGUAACGCUGGUGACGUCACUCUGGACCAGCUGGUGCAGGCUCUGAAGGAUGCUGGGAUGUACGAGGUUGCAGACGAGGUGUCCUCAGGGCGUCUCCUAAAGGUGGAUGUUGAAGCUGCUAAAGAAAAGGC